rnacentral:rRNA from 1 species
CCCUUAGAUGUUCUGGGCCGCACGCGCGCUACAAUGGCAGACUCAGCGAGUUACCUCUGUCGAAAGGCACAGGGAAUCUUUACAGUAUCUGCCGUGAUGGGGAUAGACCCUUGUAAUUUUUGGUCUUCAACGAGGAAUUCCUAGUAAACGCAAGUCAUUAACUUGCAUUGAUUACGUCCCUUCCCUUUGUACACACCGCCCGUCGCACCUACCGAUUGAAUGGUCCGGUGAAGUCCUCGGACCCAGUUGAACCUCGAGUUGAACAGGGAAAGUUGACUAAAUCUUACCAUUUAGAGGAAGGUGAAGUCGUAACA